UACGUAGGGGGCAAGCGUUGUCCGGAUUCAUUGGGCGUAAAGAGCGUGUAGGCGGCCAGGUAGGUCGGUUGUGAAAACUGGAGGCUCAACCUUCAGAGGUCGACCGAAACCAUCUGGCUAGAGUCCGGGAGAGGAGAGUGGAAUUCCUGGUGUAGCGGUGAAAUACGCAGAUAUCAGGAAGAACACCCGUGGCGAAAGCGGCUCUCUGGAACGGUACUGACGCUGAGACGCGAAAGCGUGGGGAGCGAACAGG
rnacentral:rRNA from 1 species